UACGUAGGGACCAAGCGUUGUUCGGAUUUACUGGGCGUAAAGGGCGCGUAGGCGGCGAAUCAAGUCAGCUGUGAAAUCUCCGAGCUUAACUCGGAACGGUCAGCUGAUACUGCUUUGCUAGAGUGCAGAAAGGGCAAUCGGAAUUCUUGGUGUAGCGGUGAAAUGCGUAGAUAUCAAGAGGAACACCUGAGGCGAAGGCGGGUUGCUAGGCUGACACUGACGCUGAGGCGCGAAAGCUAGGGUAGCAAACAGG
rnacentral:rRNA from 1 species